rnacentral:rRNA from 1 species
UAGGGAAUCUUCCACAAUGGACGCAAGUCUGAUGGAGCAACGCCGCGUGAGUGAAGAAGGUCUUCGGAUCGUAAAACUCUGUUGUUAGAGAAGAACGUGUGUGAGAGUGGAAAGUUCACACAGUGACGGUAACUUACCAGAAAGGGACGGCUAACUACGUACCAG